GUGGCUCUACUAAUUUUGAUUGUACAUAGAUACCAGGGCAUGGAAGAGCAUUUGACUCAGGCUUGCCUAGUCACGAUACAUCACCUCUGCAGUGACUGACUGGUUCAAUGUGUGGGGCUGGGAUCCCAAAAGGGCCAGUUGGAGUACUUCUCGGUGAGGCAAGCAGUUGUGAGCAUAAAACUGUCACUCUGCAGCAGCUGCUGAGCUCAGAUAAUGAAUGCUAUGCCAUCCUGCCUGUCUGCGCAGGGGAAGCAAUUCAGAAACGGAACAACUGAGGGUGAUACCCAAAGAGGAAAGGUCUAAGAGCAAUGUUGUGGAUUUGGAAUCCCCUCGCUGAUGUACCUCUGGAUUUAUCUGAGAAGGAAACACUUAUUCUGAAUGUAGGUGACAUCAUCCCAUGCUCUGGAUCCCUGGAGUGAAUACAGAAGAAAUCAAGUAGAGUAUUAGCAUUUGUCUACCUUCAGAUGCAGCGCGUCCAGCUAUAUCGGGCUCCCACGGCUACACCUAGAGCUGCUCUCAUUGCCUUGUGUCCUCUGUCCUCCUUCAGACUGCGGGCCAGUGCAAACCUUUCCUUCCUUAAGUACUGUUGCCAGGUGUCUCAUGGAAGAAACAAGAGAAGUGACUGACAUAGAUACUUAUACAUAGUUUCCACUUGGGUUUGUGAAGGCUAACUACCCUUUCCUGUCUUGGCUGGAACCAUGCAGCCUGAAGGACAGGAGGUGGCCCCUGGGACAUAUACUCACUCUGAGCUAUGGCUUGUAACCAUUGACAGCAAGAGUGUGAUAGAAUCUUCCUUACUUCUCCUCAUGCCUUGAAAAGGAAGUGAAAGUUGAACUACUUUUUCUAGUUUAACAUAAACUCUCUUUGAAUUCA